AUAGCGUAUAUUUAAGUUGCUGCAGUUAAAAAGCUCGUAGUUGGAUUUCGGAUGGGUUCCGUCGGUCCGCCGCUUCGGUGUGCACCGGCGGCGCCCAUCUUGCUGCCGGGGACGGGCUCCUGGGCUUAAUUGUCCGGGACUCGGAGUCGGCGAGGUUACUUUGAGUAAAUUAGAGUGUUCAAAGCAGGCCUACGCUCUGAAUACAUUAGCAUGGAAUAACACGAUAGGACUCUGGCCUAUCUUGUUGGUCUGUAGGACCGGAGUAAUGAUUAAGAGGGACAGUCGGGGGCAUUCGUAUUUAAUUGUCAGAGGUGAAAUUCUUGGAUUUAUUAAAGAUGAACUUAUG
rnacentral:rRNA from 1 species